CCAGAACCGGAAGGUUUGAAGCCGGAAUUCGCCGGAAAAUUCGCCGGAAAGAGGCGUAACUGUGUUUUUUCGUGAAUUGAAGCCGAUAGUUUAAUGCAAGUCAGGGGUGGUGGAGGAAGAUUUCACAGCGAAAUGGAUAGAUAACAAUGACAUGUUCGUUGUAUUUUUGCGCGUCGGAUUGCUUUCUUUUGUAACGAUCUAAUGCAAGUGUAAUUUUAAGUACCUCACUUAACAUUCUAAUGGUUGUAUGGAUAAUGUUAAGUACUUUGUAUGAUUAUGGUUUUAUGAAUAUGUGAACUUAUCAUUUUGUAUUUAAAAUGAAGCAUCAUAUUGUGUUUAUCAUUUCCGCUAUAUUGUCAACAACAUAUCUAAUGGUGUCAAAAUUGCAACAUAUUUUGUU